UGGGGAAUAUUGCACAAUGGGCGCAAGCCUGAUGACGCAACGCCGCGUGGGGGAUGAAGGUCUUCGGAUCGUAAACCCCUGUCGAAUGGGACGAAAGACUCGCGAGUGAAUACUUCGCGAGAGUGACGGUACCGUUAAAGGAAGCCACGGCUAACUACGUGCCAGCAGCCGCGGUAAUACGUAGGGACCAAGCGUUGUUCGGAUUUACUGGGCGUAAAGGGCGCGUAGGCGGCGUGACAAGUCACUUGUGAAAUCUCCGGGCUUAACUCGGAACGGUCAAGUGAUACUGUCGUGCUAGAGUGCAGAAGGGGCAAUCGGAAUUCUUGGUGUAGCGGUGAAAUGCGUAGAUAUCAAGAGGAACACCUGAGGUGAAGACGGGUUGCUGGGCUGACACUGACGCUGAGGCGCGAAAGCUAGGGGAGCAAACGGGAUUAGAUACCCCAGUAGUCCCUGAGCGGGCUGGCAAGGCGCAU
rnacentral:rRNA from 1 species